UACGUAGGGUGCAAGCGUUAAUCGGAAUUACUGGGCGUAAAGGGCGCGUAGGCGGUGUGUCAAGUCAGGCGUGAAAGCCCCGGGCUCAACCUGGGAACAGCGCUUGAGACUGGCACGCUCGAGUUCGGGGAGAGGAUGGUGGAAUUCCCAGUGAUAGAGGUGAAAUUCGUAAGAUAUUGGGAAGAACACCGAUGGACGAAGGCCAGCCAUCUGGACCGA
rnacentral:rRNA from 1 species